UCCUAGGUGAACCUGCGGAGUGAUCAUUAAAGAAUUAGAUCGUAAGAUCGAAAUUCCCACCCUUUGUCAUCGAAUACUGUCACUGACCCCCUGAGCCUUGAUCUCACGAUCCUAGCGGAGGGCAGUAGUUUUAACCAAGUCUCUUCUUGAGACGAGGUAAUACACGUUAUCAUUACAGUCAUAUCAAAAGUUAAUUAUAAAACUUUCAACAACGGAUCUCUUGGUUCUGGCAUCGAUGAAGAACGCAGCGAAAUGCGAUAAGUAAUGUGAAUUGCAGAAUUCAGUGAAUCAUCGAAUCUUUGAACGCACAUUGCACCUUCUGGUAUUCCGGGAGGUAUGUCUGUUCGAGCGUCAUUACACCUCUCGAGUCUCACUCGGUAUUGGGGCAUGUACUUCGGUGCAGCUCUUGAAUUCAGUCGGCUGGUAUUUUCUACCUUCAGCGUUGUGCAAAUAUCGCUUUGGAAUAGUUAAGGCCACGCCGUUAAACCUCUUUCAAUAAGGUUGACCUCGGAUCAGAUAGGGAUACCCGCUGAACUUAAGCAUAUCAAUAAGCGGAGGA
rnacentral:rRNA from 1 species